GGGCCGGUAGUUCAGUGGCAGAAUAUCUCUUUUGCACAGAGAAGGUCGUGGGUCCGAUUCCCACCCGGUCCACCA
rnacentral:tRNA from 1 species